CAGAAAGAAGAAGAAGAAGGAAGAGAAGAAGAGGAAGGAGAGGAAAAUAGAGAGAGAAACCUAGGGAGAGCAAUCCUCCACCGAUUGGAGUGAUUCAAAAGCCUAAACCACUCUAAAUCUUCUCCUCUUUCAUAAUCCAAGCUUAGUUCUUAGUGGGGAGCUUUGUGUGGUGAGAUAUUGGCUCUCAAAAAUUCGCCCAUUUGGUGAAAUUUGGGGUUUUGAGUGCUUCCACCUCCAUUGAAGCUUGGGGAGCCAUCAAUCCUCGGUUGUGUGACCAUUGGUGGAUUGAGGCAUUUGGACCAACCGUGAGUGAUCAACCAUUGGAGCAAGCUAUGGAGCUUGAUUAGCUCCAUUGGAUAGGUUUUGUUUGAGAAGUGAAGUAUUGUAAUUGACUGACUGUGGAACCUGUUGGUGGUGAACAAAGGUUGACUGAAGCAUUGAGGUAAGGAUGCUGCAGGAGCCCCCAGUGCAAGUGGCCAUAUUUGGAUUAGCAUAUGCAUGAGGAUCCUAUAUUUUGAUAUUAUACAUGUUGUUUUGUAGCUCACAUGUAUAGGAUUGUAAUUCCUAGACCAUUGAUAGAUGUAUGAUUUGUAUAUUGGAAUGGACUUAGCCUAUGCUCAUG